rnacentral:rRNA from 1 species
CCUACGGGAGGCAGCAGUAGGGAAUCUUCCACAAUGGGCGAAAGCCUGAUGGAGCAACGCCGCGUGGGUGAUGAAGGUCUUCGGAUCGUAAAACUCUGUUGUUAGAGAAGAAAAUUCGUGAGAGUAACUGUUCACGUUUUGACGUUAUCUAACCAGAAAGCCAAGGCUAAUUACGUGCCAGCAGCCUCGGGAAUACGUAGGUGGCAAGCGUUAUCCGGAUUUAUUGGGCGUAAAGGGAACGCAGGUGGUUUUUUAGGUCUGAUGGGAACGCCUUCGGCUUAACCGGAGUAGUGCCUAGGAUAAUGGGAGACUUGAGUGCAGAUGAGGUGGGUGGAAUGCCUUGUGUAGCGGUGAAAUGCGUAGAUAUAAGGAAGAACACCAAUGGCGAAGGCAGCUCUCUGAUCUGCAACUGACGCUGAGGUUCGAAAGCGUGGGUAGCAAACAGGAUUAGAUACCCGGGUAGUC